GUUGCAAUAGCAGCAGGCAACAGAGUUUGGGUGAGGUCACUCGGUCUGGCCUCCUGCCUCCUCUGUUCCAUCUGCUGUUUGCCUGCUUCCUCUGCUAGAAGGCAGAAUCUAGGGCCCGCCCCCCUCCCCAAGCUUCUCUCACGCCCUCAUUUCAGGAUCUGUCAAACCAGGCCCGCCUGGGAGCUGAGCUCCACCUCUCUCCCUUUACUCUGUUGACAAGAACUGGCAGAGGUAACCAUCAAUGAGAAAGACUUUUUUUCUCCUUCAGCCCUGUCACCUACCCAACCGCAUCUCCAGCAGGUCUGUGGAAGUAGCUUCAGCUGCCACUCAGGGUUGAUGCCGGGCCAUCACCACUCUUCUCCUGAUGCCUCAGCCCCUAUUCACAGCGAAUAUUGAAAGCGGAAAUAAGAGAAGUAAAGUUCUGGAAAGGGCUUUAAAUGAUUGGCAGCUGGCUGGAUAUUCCUAAGUGCUUGCUCUCAUUUUCUGCAUGUGUCUGGUAGUGGACCAGAAGCAGCUUGUGGGUCCUGCUCUGAGCAGCACUGCAGCAGCACAAGGGACAUCGCACCCAACCCUGUGGCUCGCAACUCAGAGAGAGGAGAAGAGAAGAAGAAAGAGAGGGAGAGAAACACCAGUGUGUGGCUGCCUCUUGUGCUCCCCCCACUGGGAACCUGGCCCGCAACCCAGGCGUGCACACUGACUGGGAAUUGAACUGGCGACAGGCAGUUUACAGGCAGGCACUCAUUCCACUAAGCCACACCAGCCAGGGGUACUUCACUCCUUUUUUAAAAAUUGUGUAAUGUUCUUUCCUCUGAAAACAUGUUUUAUUUUUUAAUUUCAGUUGACAUUCAAUAUUACAUUAGUUUCAGGUAUACUACAUAAGUGGUUAGACCUUUAUACAACUUAUGAUGUGAUCCCCUCAAUAUAUCUAGCGCCCACCUGACACCAUAUUAACUAUAUGUAUUCCCUAAGCUGUACUUUAUGUUUCCAUGACUGUAACUACCAAUUUGUACUUUUCAAUCCAUUCACCUUUUUCACCCAGCCCCCAAAUCCUCCUCUCACCUGGCAAUCAUCAGUUUGUUCUCUGUAUCAAUGAGUAUGUUUCUGUUGUGUUUAUACAUUUAUUUUGUUUUUUAUAUUUUACAUAUAAGGGAAACCAUAUGGUAUUUGUCUUUCUCUGUCUUACUUCAUUUAGCAUACUAUCCUCUAGGUCCAUCCAUGUUGUUGCAAAUGGUUAGAUUUUGUUCUUUUUUAAGCAAUAUUCCAUUACACACAGGUAAAGCAAAAGUAGGUUUACAGUUGCUUGUAUGGAAAAUAAUAUAAUGAUAAAUAAUAAUACGAGAAUAAAUUCUGUGUUUCCCAUACACACAACUACAACUUUUGCCCACCCUGUGUACAUACCACAUCUUCUUUAUCUGAUCAUAAAUAAUGCCACAAGGAACAUAGGGAUACAUACACCUUUUCAAAUUGGUGUUUUAGAUUUCUUUGGAUAAAUACCUAGAAGUAGCAUUUUUAAUUUUUUUUUUAAGAUUUUUUAUUUAUUUGUCUUUAGAGGGGAAGGGAAGGAGAGAGGGAGAGAAACAUCAAUGUAUGGUUGCCUUUCAUGCAUCCCCUGCUGGGAACUGGCCUGCAGGGAACCGGCCUGCAACCCUGCUAUGUGCCCUGACUGGGAAUCGAACCGCGAUUGUCUGGUUCGCAGGCCCGUGCUCAAUCCACUGAGCUACACCAGCCAGGGCCCAUUUUUAAUUUUUUGAGGGACCUCCAUAAUGCUUUUCAUGGUGUCUGCACUAAUCUGCAAUCUCACAAACAGUGCAUGAGGGUUCCCUUUCCUCCACAUCCUCACCAAAACGUUUGUUGAUUUUUUGAUGAUGGCCAUUCUGACAGGUGUGAGGUGGUACUUCAUGGUGGUUUUAAAUUGUAUUUCUCUGGUGGUUGGUGAUGCUGACCGUGAUCUUUUCAAAUGUUUUUUUGCCAUCUGUAUGUCCCCUUUGGAGAAAUGUCUAUUUAGGUCCUCUGCCCAUUUUUUGAUCAAAUUGUUUGUCUUUUUGGUGUUAAAUUGUGUGAUUUAUAUAUUUUAGACAUUAACCUCUUAUUGGAUGUAUCAUUUGCAAAUAUUUUCUCUUUUUAUUCUGUUGAUGGUUUCCUUUGCUGGGCAAAAACUUUUUACUUGAUGUAAUCCCAUUUGUUUAUUUUUUCUUUU